rnacentral:rRNA from 1 species
AGUGAACGCUGGCGGUAGGCCUAACACAUGCAAGUCGAACGGAAGCACAGUACGAGCUCGCUCUUACGGCUGCCGACGGGUGGAUAGGUGCGAAGAAUAUGCCUAGUAACUUUUUCUUGGGGCAUAAAGUGGGCACUCAUACGCUAAUACCGCUUACGGAGAACGGGUGGAAUCAGGGGAUCUUACGACCUCACGUGAUCCUAUGUCCCGAUGUCGGAUUAGCUAGUUGACGGGGUAAAGGCCCACCAAGGCGACGAUCCGUAGCUGGUCUGAGAGGAUGAUCAGCCACACUGGAACUGAGACACGGUCCAGACUCCUACGGGAGGCAGCAGUGGGGAAUAUUGGACAAUGGGCGAAAGCCUGAUCCAGCCAUGCCGCGUGUGUGAAGAAGGCCUUCGGAUUGUAAAGCACUUUUAGUUGGGAAGAAAGGCAGUAAGUUAAUACCUCGCUGUUUUGACGUUACCCAAAGAAUAAGCACCGGCUAACUUCGUG